rnacentral:rRNA from 1 species
GAAAGCCUAGGCACUUUACCAAAUCUUGACAUCCUUUGACAACUCUAGAGAUAGAGCCUUCCCCUUCGGGGGACAAAGUGACAGGUGGUGCAUGGUUGUCGUCAGCUCGUGUCGUGAGAUGUUGGGUUAAGUCCCGCAACGAGCGCAACCCUUAAGCUUAGUUGCCAUCAUUAAGUUGGGCACUCUAAGUUGACUGCCGGUGACAAACCGGAGGAAGGUGGGGAUGACGUCAAAUCAU